UUUUUAUUCACCUAACCCAAAGUUUCAGCAUGCUUUUUUCCUGAACUUUUUCUUACCUAGGAUUAUUCUAUUAAAAAAUUGAUAGGGAAGAAAAUAGUUUUGGUUUUCAUUGUUUUAAAUCCCUGAUAUAUAUAAUUUAUCUAUUUUUUACCUAAAAUUCUAAAUCAGUAAAAGAUUAAAUUAAAUAUGUAUUACUAUGUUUGAAAAUUAAACUGUUUUUACACACUAAAUGCUUCUUUAAAAUUCUAACCCUUAUAUAUAGUAUUGUCCAGCUGCCAGUGAAACAAGAAAUAGCUGUUCAGGUGUUUACAGUUUAAAUUUUCAGAUGGAUAUGUUGUUCAUUUCUUCACAUGUCCCUUCAAGAUUCUCAUUUUGGAUUAUUAUUUGCAAUGUUUGAAAUCUUUUGGUGUCAUUGUGCAUACAAUAUUGGAUUUAUUUUAUUUGAAUUCACUUCUUAGAUUUUUUAUAGCAAUUUUGCUUCUUAAAAUGUGAUGUGUUUUUUUUCAAGAUUUUAUUGUCAUGAAGGACAUCAAGGAGGAAAUAAUUCAUUCAAACUGUUUUGUGGGGCUUACAUAUGAUGUUGUACAUGUAAAAUUCGAAAAUAAGUUUGGAGUAUACCUUGCUGUGUUUUUUCUUUGAAAUCUAUUAUAAUAUUAGUGGGACUUUUGUGCAUAAAAUGCUGUGUUUGCUCAAGGAAAUUCAAAUUUUCAUACGAUGGGAUUUAGUUAUGUUAAAGAUUAAAAAAUUUCAAAACUGGAAUUCAAGUAGGAGAUAUAGUGUGAGUUCAUCCAACAUGUUUCUGUGGCUUUAAAUGUGAUUUUAAAAACAUUCAUUAUUAAUUUGGGAUCUAUUACAAACUUAAGAUGAUUUACCAUUUAAAUGGGAUCUUGGAAAUGAAAUAAAAUGUUGAAUUAAUGCAGUGGAUAUAGUCUAAUCUAGUGAUAAAGUGA
rnacentral:lncRNA from 1 species